AGAACCAAGAAAGAGAGAGAACUAAUCAAAUGUAUAGGUUGAGCAACACAGUGAUUGGGUUCUUGAACCUCUUCACUCUUUUAGCAUCAAUACCUAUCAUUGGUGGUGGUCUAUGGAUGGCAAGGAGCAGCACAACAUGUGAAAGCUUCCUCCAAACCCCACUCUUAGUGAUUGGUUUUGUUGUGCUGAUCAUAUCUCUAGCCGGGUUCGUUGGUGCUUGUUUCCAUGUUGCUUGGGCGCUUUGGGUGUACUUAGUAGUCAUGCUGUUCCUUAUUGCCACCCUGAUGGGGUUUACUGUGUUUGGGUUUGUGGUUACAAGUCAAGGUGCUGGAGUUGAUGUGCCUGGUAGGGCUUAUAAGGAAUAUCAUCUUGAAGAUUACUCACCAUGGUUGAGGAAGAGGAUUAAGGACCCCAAUUACUGGAGCACAUUAGGAGUUGUAUUUUGGGGUCUAAGACUUGUGCAAAGCUUCUUGUUUGGACUCCUCUUGAUUAUCUUGAGAGGGACAUGUCUCCAAUACAGGUAUUAGACUAUUAGUUAUGGUUUUUUAAACUUUUUGUUUGUAAAUUGACUUGUUAUUCAAAUUUAAGGCCAUGAUCUUGUAUGUCUGGGACUGUUUUCUUAUCCAAUAUUUCUUCCUAUUCAUAUUCUCUCUACAAUGUUUGCAAGAUUUGUUUCUUUUGGUUUCCCUCAUACAGGUAUGUUUCAUUUGUCGAAACAAAAAUAAUGAUGAUUGAUAUAUUUGACACAGUAAUAUGGAAACAAGAACAAAAAAAAUAACAUAUAUCUAUGUGUGUGUGUGUGUGUGU